rnacentral:rRNA from 1 species
GAUGAACGCUAGCGGCAGGCUUAAUACAUGCAAGUCGUGGGGCAGCAGGUUUGUAGCAAUACAGAUGCUGGCGACCGGCAAACGGGUGCGGAACACGUACAGAACCUUCCUUUGAGCGGGGAAUAGCCCAGAGAAAUUUGGAUUAAUACCCCAUAGUAUAAUGAAGUGGCAUCACUUUAUUAUUAAAGAUUUAUCACUCGAAGAUGGCUGUGCGGCUGAUUAGGUAGUUGGCGGGGUAAAGGCCCACCAAGCCUGCGAUCAGUAACUGGUGUGAGAGCACGACCAGUCACACGGGCACUGAGACACGGGCCCGACUCCUACGGGAGCAGCAGUAAGGAAUAUUGGUCAAUGGAGGCAACUCUGAACCAGCCAUGCCGCGUGGAGGAUGAAGGUCC